rfam:TPA: Bos taurus chromosome 15, whole genome shotgun sequence.
UCCCUUGUAGCUCAGUUGGUAAAGUAUCUGCCUGCAAUGCAGGAGACCCACAUUCAAUUCUUGGGUCGGGAA